UCCCUGGUGUUCCAGUGGUUAGGACUCUGCACUUCUGCUGCAGGGGGCAUGAGUUCAAUCCCUGUUCAGGAAA
rnacentral:tRNA from 1 species